rnacentral:rRNA from 1 species
UACAGAGGGGGCAAGCGUUGUUCGGAAUUACUGGGCGUAAAGGGCGCGUAGGUGGCCUGUUAAGUCGAACGUGAAAUCCCUGGGCUCAACCCAGGAACUGCGUCCGAUACUGGCAGGCUUGAAUCCGGGAGAGGGAUGCGGAAUUCCAGGUGUAGCGGUGAAAUGCGUAGAUAUCUGGAGGAACACCGGUGGCGAAGGCGGCAUCCUGGACCGGUAUUGACGCUGAGGCGCGAAAGCUAGGGUAGCAAACGGG